CCUACGGGAGGCAGCAGUGGGGAAUUUUGGACAAUGGGGGCAACCCUGAUCCAGCCAUUCCGCGUGAGUGAAGAAGGCCUUCGGGUUGUAAAGCUCUUUCGGCAGGAACGAAACGGUGGGGGCUAAUACCCCCUGCUAAUGACGGUACCUGAAGAAGAAGCACCGGCUAACUACGUGCCAGCAGCCGCGGUAAUACGUAGGGUGCGAGCGUUAAUCGGAAUUACUGGGCGUAAAGCGUGCGCAGGCGGUUCUAUAAGACAGAUGUGAAAUCCCCGGGCUUAACCUGGGAACUGCGUUUGUGACUGUAGGACUCGAGUGUGGCAGAGGGGGGUGGAAUUCCACGUGUAGCAGUGAAAUGCGUAGAGAUGUGGAGGAACACCGAUGGCGAAGGCAGCCCCCUGGGUCAACACUGACGCUCAUGCACGAAAGCGUGGGUAGCAAACAGGAUUAGAUACCCUGGUAGUCCACGCCCUAAACGAUGCGAACUAGGUGUUGGGGAAGGAGACUUUCUUAGUACCGCAGCUAACGCGUGAAGUUCGCCGCCUGGGGGGUACGGUCGCAAGAUUAAAACUCAAAGGAAUUGACGG
rnacentral:rRNA from 1 species